AGGCUGGAUUAUCAUGUGGAAAGGGAAUCUGUUAAAUGUAUCUCCUGGAGGUAUGGGAGGCUCUGUGACACAUCUCCUGGAGCAGGGUUAAUCUUUGGCCAAAGAACUCCUUUGGAGAUCAGAGAAACAUGACAGGGAGAUGCCCAGCUGCGCUGCCAGUCUUCACGGUACUUCGCUACGUCUCCCUGCAGGUCUAUGUGCAGCUGAAGCCGGGUACUCGUCCAUCGAUCUGCCCGAGUCACCAGGCGUCAUUUAACAGAAGAGUUUUAAGACAAAACCAAAGAGAGCAUCACCCAGGGAGUCACAUCUUUUCACCCGUCUCCUGCCCUCCACACCGUUUGACCACUCCUCCUCACCCCAUCGGCUGCGUGCUGUGUGUGGUGCCUGGUGUCCCACAGAUACGGGGCUGUUGUGCAGACCAUUGGUUAUAACAACAUCACAAAGAGAGUCCCUAGCAGUGGGGUCCUAGGUGGAAAUGAAACCUCCUUGAAAUAAGUAAAUCCCAGGGGUUUGUCUCCUAUUAAGCUAGCAGAUAGUUUGUUCAUUUUGCUACGGUUUGCAGCAUCCAACCAGAUACGGGUGGAAACUUCUUGUCUUCCUUCCUCUUUUAUAUUUCCAGUCUGGGAAACAGCAAAAAAAUGUUAGUGAAAAGAGUAACAUCUGUGUGUGAGAGAGAGAGAAAAUGAUGAAGCAGGCUGGCCAGGCAGCCAGCCUCAGGAGAUGGUAACACAGAAGAGCUAUUCAUUCUGAAAGCCAGUUGCUCCUCGCCCUUCUAGAUUAUAAAUUGGACACCUUAUUAAGAGCUGAUCCUCCAGCAGCCCCACCCUGGGCUGUGCUCAUGCUCUAAACCAGUGGAACGUAAUCCCAUUUCACUAUUGAUGCCUGUUACUGGAUAAGCACAUAUGCAAGCAGGACAGAGCAUACUAAGCAGAAAGAAGCAGCACCCUGGCUGUUUUAUGAAUUGUCAGUUUAAGAAAAGGAGAUGGGGUUUUGGGAAGGAAUGGGGAGGAGGUUGGUUUGCACCAAAAUUUGAACACUUUCAGGAUGAUGCUAGCUGCCUUGCCAAAUAAUUAAACUUUUCUUUUUUUUUUUUUUCUUGUUUUCUCAGUUGUAACUUAAAAAUGCUGACUCACUGGCAUGGUGUGCCAACCCAAAUGUUGCUGCUGGAAUCAACCACUGGAAGAACAUAAUGAGAUAUGACCCCACAACAGUAUAGGCUUGGAGUAGGCCUCCUCAGUGAUUCCAAGCUCCUCUUCUAGUGGUUUGCUUGGUCACUUGUUUCUUGUCAGAUUAGCUCAGAGGUCUGUACAAAUUUAAGCAUGUGUCAAGUUGAACAGUUCUUGAGGUGAAAACUUCAUGGAAACAUAAGUUUAACAAAUUCAACAAGGUUUUACAUCCUUGGCAAGACUUCCAGACUUUUCAACCUUCAUACACCUUUUAACCCUUUGAAAAGCUGCCCAACUGGCAUUUGAAAUGCACAGUUGCCAAGUUAUUGACAGCUGUUGUCAGGAAUAAAUAUGUGACAUGUAUUCUUCAGGGCUUGUUUUUGUGCUGAGGAAAACAGGAUGGAAUGUUAUAAACCUGUUUUAGUGUCUCUGAAUUGUAUCCUUGCUCAUACAUGCAUGUUCUUCCUUCCAGGCAAAACCAGCUGAGGGGUUCAUUCAAUGCUACAUGCGUCGUGAGGAUUCUGCAUCGUCAGAGCAUUUAGUCUGAACACUGUAUAGAUACACAUCUGGUUGGCUCCCCUAUUGAGAACAGAAUUCCAGCAGAGAUUUUUUUCCUGGUGAAUGGAGAAGAGCAGGACCAGCAGAGCUCCCCAUGCAGAGGGUGUUAUUCCAGGAGAGUGCUCCCUCACCCGCAGAGAGAAGCAAUCCAAUACGCUUUCCAUCCGGGGGCAGGAGGGGAAAGGAGGGAGGAGAGGGGGGUGAGGAUGCUUCCUUCCCAGCGCACGGGGCUGCCAGCCAAGAAUGUAAGUCUAAAUUCAAGUCCAGGGAGUGCUGUGCCAGAUUCAGCGAGUUUGGAGUCCUUUUGUCCAGAAGCUUGCAAUACUUGAGGGAACUGCCAAAUGGGAUGUGUGGCAUCCAUGUAAUAUAUCUGAUGCAUGAAAACUGGUUCCUACUGAGCUUACCGUGGUGCCUGAGGCAAAAGUACUUCUGAUUCCCCACAUGAUGCAGCCGUCACCAGACCACUGCUGUUCUCCUUAAACCCAGCCACAAUGGUAGUUCAGGACAACCUCCUGCCUCGGGUCAGGCUGAGGCAGAUGGCACUCACUGGGAGAGGAAAGGUGGUGCUGCCUUUGACCCUGCUCUCCCUCUCUGGGAAGGGAGGACACAAUGCCGUUUGCAUUUCUCCCUAAGCUGAACCAUUAAGUUUGAUGACAGAAAUGAACCUUUCCCCCUGGACACAGGCCAAAAGACUGUUUUCUUUCCCUUCCCCUCCUGUCUCUUUCAUAACCGUCAUUUUCACAUAUCUCUGGAACGUAUCACGUACUACUGUCAUGUGUUGUAGGUGUGCUCCCCUUUUUUCCACAGCUAUGUCCUGCCUCCCCUCUGCCAGGUGGGAUCCACUCCUUGUCUGGCUGCUGCUAGUUUGCCACAGGUGACAGGGUGGACCAAAGCCACUUCUUCUGCCCUAGGGGAGAGCCUCUGGAUCUAGGAGAGAGGGAGAUCUGCUCUGGAAACACCAUCUAGCAGCCUCUGUGUGAACAUGGCCAUAGCAAUACCUGUGGGAUGAGAGUGCUUGUGUUCCUGUGCCUCAUCAAGAGGGUUCAGCCAGCUGUGCUUGUGCAAACCCCUGGAGGGCUCUGAGGCUGAGCAGGUGUCAGCAAGGACACAGCCUGGGUCGAAGAACUCCUAUGACAGCUUGUGCCAGACAGAGAGGAAGAUUGUCUUGGUAGGAAUUGGUUUUGUGUUUAACAGGGAUGCCAGAGGAGGACAGUAAGGAGGGGAAAUCCCAUGAUGAUGCUUCCCAGGCCAGUAGUACCAAAGGUGAUUUCCCAUUUAUGUACUAAUGGGGUUCGCAUCAAAUGCCAAGGGGUUGCUGAGGGCUGCUGUGGAGCAGUCUUGAUACAGGACAUGCCAUUGCAGAGCCCUAGCCAAGGGCAUCAGUUCAGCCAGUGCCCAUGCAGAGGUGAAGCAGAAGCAAUGUGGUUUGGUUUGGUGUGGUGUGUGUCUCUUAGGCUUAAAUUCCCACUAAUCUGUGUCUGAAAAGACCCACUGGGAUGUGUGACAAUAUGUUUAUAACCCAGGUCCAUGCCUGGAUCCAGGCCAUUGCCAGAGAGACUUAAGGAGAUGUGAUCCCUCAAUCCCUUGUCUUCCUGACGUCAGCCAUGAUCCUGGCACAUGUUCUUCCAGCUUUCUGGGGCUCUUGUCAAAGCUGUGUUGCUGCACUAAGAGCAGGAGCUCUGGACCAGAAAAUGAGAGCUAAAACUUUUUCCUGAGGCUAUCCCAGCCCGGGCAGCUGUGCUGUCUCCUGGGCCACAGCUCAGCUGUUCACAGGCAGCAGCCCUGCUUGCUCCCUGCAGUGUGUGCCAGGAGGUGGGUUUCAGUUGCAAAAUAGAGCAUGGUCUAUCCUGCCCUCCCUGGGUUGGGGUCCAGAAAGUGUGCCCUUUCCCCAGCAUCUCACCAGUGCAGGAGAUACUUCAUCACUCCUUCAUCUUCUCCUCCAUUCACAUAGGGGCUGCUUUUCCCCCAGGC